rnacentral:lncRNA from 1 species
AUCAAUGCAAAGAUACAACGUUAGUGUAGUGAUCAUUAAACAAAGGUCCACAGGCAGCAAAUAUAAACAUAAUUUAUUGCCCAUAAGUGAAGCAUUAUUGAAUACUCCAUUCAAGAGAUGGAUCACACACAUUAUGAUUCUCUCAACAAAACAAUAGGAUAUAAUCAGAAAGAAUGAACUUGUUGCAUCAACAUAGAAUUCAAAAUUAGUCAAACAGUGCAUUUCUUCAUGGCAUGCAACACAAAGUUCAUCCUCGGUAAAAGAAAGCGCAUAAAACAAUCAUGUUUCCAUUGACUAAUAAUGCAAUCGCUUCAGUGUUAUCGGUUUUCAUCAAACAUUCUCCCGUCUUCCAUCCAAUAUCCCUACUAUUGCAGGAAGUGUCAGUAACCUGCAGAAAAAUACAAUCUCUUUAACAAUAAGAAAGAAGUGGCAAGGUCAACUUUGCAUUAUACAUGCAAAUAUAAGUAAACUGUUAAAGUGAUAAUAAAUGAAGGCCCUGAAAUAAAGUAAAUAGCGUAGCGACAAUGUCAAUUACCAAAGAAAAAAGGUAAAAGGCAAAAUUAAAAGCUGGCAAAGUAAAGGUAUGGUUUUAAUCUACUCCCUCGCCUAAUAUACGACCUUUUAGCGAUUUCACUAUUGACUACAAACAUAUAUACUAUAAUGAGUGAAUAUAGUCAUAUACACACUAAACUGUGUCUAGAUAUAUACGAAUCAAGAAAAAGCUAAAAGAUCUUAUAUUAGGGAACAAAGGGAGUAGUAUGCGGCACCAACACAGAUGUGGACCAAUUGGACAGGGAGGUAGUUGAAUUAUUAUAAAUGCUAAUGCGCAGUGGUGGUACCUCUCUAUACUUGGCAGACACGUAUCUAGCAUGCCGGGUUUUGCAUGAUCUGUUAUUUCAUUUUCAUAGGUUUCAAUACUAAUCGGAGAAAAGAAAAGUUCCUCCGUGCUACUCUGUUUGACUCACAAAAUAGACUGGCAAAGAUACUACUCAAGGUUUUUCUUUUUUUCGAGAAAUAACCACUCCGCUUUUGACACGGCAAAAUCAAAUGUGGAACUCUUUCAACAUUAGCAUAGUUGGUACCUUAGCUGAGGGUCUUGUGAUGUUGCCAUGUUUUGUUUUAAGCUGAAUCUUUCGGCUUCAAAGUAAUUAGUUAGUGCUCAAAUAGUCAGCAUUAAUCAAAGGUGUAAACAGACUGUAAAGUAAACAAGUUGCAAUGACCUUCUUCAUCACUUAUGUAGAUUGGAUUACUGAUGCCUUUCCCUAUCAUACUGUAACAUGUACUAAAGGUCUGGAAAUGGCGUGCACACAGGAAGCUAUAUUGUGCCCGAAACUACAGUUUCCGGAAUUUGCAUACAGGUUCCAUUACUCUGUUGGGAAGCAUAAACCAUUGAUCUAUACAGUAAAUUGCUUUUUCUUGAAUUUGCAUAUAAGCUUGGGUUUGUAGUAACCAAACAAUACUCAGUG